GAAUGUAGGCCCCGCCUCCACCCGUCUAGCCAGGGAGCUGAUCCUCUGGAGGGCCCCAGUGGCACCCUCCCUCCCUUGCCAGUGACAGGCCUCCAGGCGGACCAGGGCCCACCACGCCCUCCGGCUCCCACCUCCUCCACCACCAACACCACCACCACCAUCACCACGACCCAACAAUCCAGCAUUCCCGUACCCUCAAUAAGCCUCCAGGCGGACCAGGACCCACCAUGCCCUCCAGGACCCGCCACCACCAGUCCACCCAUCCUCCAGUGGAGAGGCAAGCACAGCCCUCCCCAUAUUCUGCAGGAGGAAGCAGGACCAAGCAGCCCUUCAGGCCCCAGCACGGACAGCUACGAGUGCUGGAGCAGACCUGAGCCCCCGGAGCCAACCCUUUACUGUGCAUCUUGCUCCUCCGAUGAGGAGGUGGCAGCAGCACUGCCUCCUGUAUGGACCAGGCCUCUCC